rnacentral:rRNA from 1 species
GACGAACGCUGGCGGCGUGCUUAACACAUGCAAGUCGAGCGGAAAGGCCCUUCGGGGUACUCGAGCGGCGAACGGGUGAGUAACACGUGAGUAACCUGCCCCAGACUUUGGGAUAACCCUCGGAAACGGGGGCUAUUACCGGUAAGAACCAGCUUCGCCAUGGGUUCGGUGGGAAAGUUUUUUCGGUUUGGGAUGGCCUCGCGGCCUAUCAGCUUGUUGGUGGGGUGAUGGCCUACCAAGGCGACGACGGGUAGCCGGCCUGAGAGGGCGACCGGCCACACUGGGACUGAGACACGGCCCAGACUCCUACGGGAGGCAGCAGUGGGGAAUAUUGCACAAUGGGCGGAAGCCUGAUGCAGCGACGCCGCGUGAGGGAUGACGGCCUUCGGGUUGUAAACCUCUUUCAGCAGGGACGAAGCGUAAGUGACGGUACCUGCAGAAGAAGCGCCGGCCAACUACGUG